CCAAGGAGUCUAACAUGUACGCGAGUGAUUGAGAAUUUAAACUCAAACGCGUAAUGAAAGUGAAGAUUCAUGUACAUGAAUUGAGGAGAGAUCAUGUCAAUAUUUGAGGCUCUGCAAAGAGUUUUGAAUAGUUUGUAUGCGCACCUCCUGGACGUCUAUACCUUCGAAGGUUGGGCGUACCUAGAGCGUACAUGCUGGGACCCGAAAGAUGGUGAACUAUGCCUGGUCAGAACGAAGCCAGGGGAAACUCUGGUGGAGGUUCGUAGCGAUUCUGACGUGCAAAUCGAUCGUCGGAACUGGGUAUAGGGGCGAAAGACUAAUCGAACCAUCUA
rnacentral:rRNA from 1 species